CUAUACUCUCUCUCAAGCCACUCUACUAUCUUCGUUCAGCCACCAGCGCCGCCGGCGACUCCGCCGUGGCACUACAAUUUCAUGGAUGGAGUUUGAAGCUCCACGCACACACACUUCGAAAAUCCUUGGAAUUGGAGGGUUUGGAGGUCGAUGACGACUAAGAAGAGUGCCACAACGAGCUUCGGCUCGCCUAUUUUGUCUGUAUGGAGACGUGAACUCGGCCAACUUUCUUCUCGAAACUUCGUUAGCCGUAUUGCUGCCUCCGAGGAUGUGGUGCUUCGUCUUGAUGUUCAGCGGAAACUGCUCCGGCACCGGGAUAACGUGACCUCUGUUUGUUUCAAUGAAUCUGGUGAUAUCCUCAUAUCGUGUUCCAGCGAUAUGAAGAUCAA